rnacentral:rRNA from 1 species
GAUGAACGCUGGCGGCGUGCUUAACACAUGCAAGUCGAACGAAGCUGCUAAAAGGAAGCCUUCGGGUGGAAUUUUGGUAGACUUAGUGGCGGACGGGUGAGUAACGCGUGGAUAACCUGCCUUAUACAGGGGGAUAACGGAGAGAAAUUUCCGCUAAGACCGCAUAAGACCACAGCACCGCAUGGUGCAGGGGUAAAAUAUUUAUAGGUAUAAGAUGGAUCCGCGUCCGAUUAGCUGGUUGGUGAGGUAGAGGCUCACCAAGGCGACGAUCGGUAGCCGGCCUGAGAGGGUGAACGGCCACAUUGGGACUGAGACACGGCCCAAACUCCUACGGGAGGCAGCAGUGGGGAAUAUUGGACAAUGGGGGAAACCCUGAUCCAGCGACGCCGCGUGAGUGAAGAAGUAUUUCGGUAUGUAAAGCUCUAUCAGCAGGGAAGAAAAUGACGGUACCUGACUAAGAAGCCCCGGCUAACUACGUGCCAGCAGCCGCGGUAAUACGUAGGGGGCAAGCGUUAUCCGGAUUUACUGGGUGUAAAGGGAGCGCAGACGGCGAAGCAAGUCUGAAGUGAAAUGCAUGGGCUCAACCCAUGAAUUGCUUUGGAAACUGUUUGGCUUGAGUGUCGGAGGGGUAAGCGGAAUUCCUAGUGUAGCGGUGAAAUGCGUAGAUAUUAGGAGGAACACCGGAGGCGAAGGCGGCUUACUGGACGACAACUGACGUUGAGGCUCGAAGGCGUGGGGAGCAAACAGG